rnacentral:rRNA from 1 species
CAAGGAAUAGUAGGCAAUGGGGGAAACCCUGACCUCGCGACGCCGCGUGAGGGAUGAAGGCUUUCGGGUUGUAAACCUCUUUUCUCAGGGAUGAAUAAUGACAGUACCUGAGGAAUAAGUCACGGCUAACUACGUGCCAGCAGCCGCGGUAAAACGUAGGUGGCGAACGUUAUCCGGAUUCACUGGGCGUAAAGAGUGCGUAGGCGGCCUUAUAAGUCGGAUGUAAAAUUUCUCGGCUCAACCGGGAGGGACCAUCCGAUACUGUCUGGCUAGAGUGCAUCAGAGGAGAGUGGAAUUCCCGGUGUAGUGGUGGAAUGCGUAGAUAUCGGGAGGAACACCAGUGGCGAAAGCGGCUCUCUGGGAUGUUACUGACGCUGUUGCACGAAAGCGUGGGGAGCAAACAGGAUUAGAUACCCUGGUAGUCCACGCUGUAAACUAUGGACACUGGGUACAGGGAGUAUCGACCCUCUCUGUGCCGAAGCUAACGCGUUAAGUGUCCCGUCUGGGGACUACGGCCGCAAGGUUA